UACGGGGGGGGCAAGCGUUGUUCGGAAUUACUGGGCGUAAAGGGCUCGUAGGUGGCCAACUAAGUCAGACGUGAAAUCCCACGGCUCAACCGUGGAACUGCUGGGCAUACUGCGGGUCUUGGGCCAACUAGGGGCAGCCGGAACAAGCGGUGGAGCGGUGAAAUGCGUAGAUAUCGCUUGGAACGCCGAAGGUGAAAACAGGCUGCUGGGGUUGCGCCGACGCUGAGACACGAAAGCCAGGGGAGCAAACGGG
rnacentral:rRNA from 1 species